rnacentral:rRNA from 1 species
AUUGAACGCUGGCGGCAUGCCUUACACAUGCAAGUCGAACGGUAACAGGUCUUCGGAUGCUGACGAGUGGCGAACGGGUGAGUAAUACAUCGGAACGUGCCUAGUAGUGGGGGAUAACUACUCGAAAGAGUGGCUAAUACCGCAUGAGAUCUACGGAUGAAAGCAGGGGAUCGCAAGACCUUGUGCUACUAGAGCGGCCGAUGGCAGAUUAGGUAGUUGGUGGGAUAAAAGCUUACCAAGCCGACGAUCUGUAGCUGGUCUGAGAGGACGAACAGCCACACUGGGGCUGAGACCCGGCCCAGACUCCGACGGGAGGCAGCAGUGGGGAAUUUUGGACAAUGGGCGCAAGCCUGAUCCAGCAAUGCCGCGUGCAGGAUGAAGGCCUUCGGGUUGUAAGCUGCUUUUGUACGGAACGAAAAGCCCUGGGUUAAUACCCUGGGGUCAUGACGGUACCGUAAGAAUAAGCACCGGCUAACUACGUGCCAGCAGCCGCCGUAACAC